GUGUCAGCCGCCGCGGUAAUACGGAGGGUGCGAGCGUUAAUCGGAAUUACUGGGCGUAAAGCACGCGUAGGUGGCUUGGCACGCCGGUUGUGAAAGCCCCGGGCUCAACCUGGGAACGGCAUCCGGAACGGCCAGGCUAGAGUGCAGGAGAGGAAGGUAGAAUUCCCGGUGUAGCGGUGAAAUGCGUAGAGAUCGGGAGGAAUACCAGUGGCGAAGGCGGCCUUCUGGCCUGACACUGACACUGAGGUGCGAAAGCGUGGGUAGCAAACAGGAUUAGAUACCCUGGUAGUCCACGCCGUAAACGAUGUCGACUAGCCGUUGGGACCUUUAAGGACUUAGUGGCGCAGUUAACGCGAUGAGUCGACCGCCUGGGGAGCACGGCCGCAAGGUUAAA
rnacentral:rRNA from 1 species